GGGGGUCAGAAGUUACGUGGCAUGGCCUUUGCAGAUCCACUGGAAGGACUUCCACUGUGUCUCACACCUAACGAAGGCCUUAGACGUGGAGAUGGCAUCGCCCAACUGCCCUGAGCACCAGGCUGUGAGAUGAGGCUGGAGAGAAGAUGCACGAUAGGCGUCCUUAGCCACGCCAGUCACUCUGGAGGCACGGGGUGGAGUCAACGUUUGGACAAGUGGGGAGCAGUUUUUGGAGGAGCACUAGGCCAGAGCUCCCCGAUCUGUUUUCAAGAGAGGAGGGAAACAUUAGCCCCUCACCAAUCUGGAUUAUUCCUGGUUGUGACACACAGGAGCCAACUCACUGGCCUGGGGCUGUCCCCUCCUCUCUGGCAUGCACUGUGCCUUCAAAAGUGGUGAGGUAGGAAACAUUGGCUGUGGAGUCCGACCAACCUGAAAUUAAAUCUCAGCUCUGCCUAAAACACUGCCUGGCCUUGGGGCCUGACCUGUGAAGUUUACACACGGUGGCCAUAGUUCCAAGAACCUGAGUCUCAGCUUGUUAUGGCCAGAUUCCACAUUUAAGUGAAAGCAAAUGGUACUUGUCUUUCCACUGGCGAGACUUUGGAUCACUCAUAUUUUAAGAGAAAUGACCACAAUGAGAUGAGUGUCUGCUUCCCUAGCUGCGAUACGACACUAGGAAUAACCGGAAGGCUCUUUGCAGUGUACAAAUGACUUCCACAUCCGGGAUCAGAGUGUCCGCUCCGCCCUGUGCAGGAGGCAGGCUCAUCCUUGUCUUACAGG